AUUAUCAGACUGGAGCAAUUUCAAUGGAGUCCAAGAAAAAUGGGAUUAUUUAAAAGUUGCACUAUUGAAGGCAACAGAAAAUUGCAUUAGGCUUGUCAGUAAAAGCAAAAAAUUUAAGAAACCACUGUGGUACUCCGCAGAUGUGGCCAAAAUAGUUAAAAACAAAAAGUUAGCAUUUAGGAAUUAUAAAAAAAACCAGAGUGAGGG
rnacentral:lncRNA from 1 species